UGAGGAAUAUUGCACAAUGGGCGAAAGCCUGAUGCAGCGACGCCGCGUGGGUGAAGAAGGUUUUCGGAUCGUAAAACCCUUUUCUGUGUGACGAGCAAGGACGGUAGCACAGGAAUAAGUCUCGGCUAACUACGUG
rnacentral:rRNA from 1 species